rnacentral:rRNA from 1 species
AGGAUAAACGCUGGCGGCGUGCUUCAGGCAUGCAAGUCGAACGGGUGUCUACCUUCGGGUAGCCACUAGUGGCGGACGGGUGAGUAACGCGUUAGCAACCUGCCCAAAGGUGGGGAAUAACUAACCGAAAGGUUAGCUAAUACCGCAUGUGAUAGCUGGUUCUUGGACCGGUUAUGAAAGGCUUCGGUCGCCUUUGGAGGGGCUUGCGUCAGAUUAGCUAGUUGGUGGGGUAAUGGCCUACCAAGGCGACGAUCUGUAGCUGGUCUGAGAGGAUGGUCAGCCACACGGGGACUGAGAUACGGCCCCGACUCCUACGGGAGCAGCAGCUAGAAUCGUUGGAAUGGGCGAAAGCCUAGACCCAGCAACGCCGCGUGGGCGAUGAAGGCCGUUCGGUCGUAAAGCCCUUUUUGGCGUAGGGGACGAGUGAUGACGGUACCUUGACGUAAUAACGCCACGGACUAACUACGUGCC